rnacentral:rRNA from 1 species
GCACAAGCGGUGGAGCAUGUGGCUUAAUUCGACGCAACGCGAAGAACCUUACCAAGGCUUGACAUACACCGGAAACGGCCAGAGAUGGUCGCCCCCUUGUGGUCGGUGUACAGGUGGUGCAUGGCUGUCGUCAGCUCGUGUCGUGAGAUGUUGGGUUAAGUCCCGCAACGAGCGCAACCCUUGUCCUGUGUUGCCAGCAACUCCUUCGGGAGGUUGGGGACUCACAGGAGACCGCCGGGGUCAACUCGGAGGAAGGUGGGGACGACGUCAAGUCAUCAUGCCCCUUAUGUCUUGGGCUGCACACGUGCUACAAUGGCCGGUACAAUGAGCUGCGAUACCGUGAGGUGGAGCGAAUCUCAAAAAGCCGGUCUCAGUUCGGAUUGGGGUCUGCAACUCGACCCCAUGAAGUCGGAGUUGCUAGUAAUCGCAGAUCAGCAGUGCUGCGGUGAAUACGUUCCCGGGC